rnacentral:rRNA from 1 species
AGCGAACGCUGGCGGCAGGCCUAACACAUGCAAGUCGAACGGAUCCUUCGGGAUUAGUGGCGGACGGGUGAGUAACACGUGGGAACGUGCCCUUUGGUUCGGAACAACUCAGGGAAACUUGAGCUAAUACCGGAUGUGCCCUGCGGGGGAAAGAUUUAUCGCCGAAAGAUCGGCCCGCGUUGGAUUAGGUAGUUGGUGUGGUAAAGGCGCACCAAGCCUACGAUCCAUAGCUGGUCUGAGAGGAUGAUCAGCCACACUGGGACUGGGACACGGCCCAGACUCCUACGGGAGGCAGUAGUGGGGAAUCUUGCGCAAUGGGCGAAAGCCUGACGCAGCCAUGCCGCGUGAAUGAUGAAGGUCUUAGGAUUGUAAAAUUCUUUUACCAGGGACGAUAAUGACGGUACCUGGAGAAAAAGCCCCGGCUAACUUCGUGCCAGCAGCCGCGGUAAGAC